rnacentral:rRNA from 1 species
AACGUAGGUGGCGAGCGUUAUCCGGAUUUACUGGGCGUAAAGGGUGUGCAGGCGGGCUGUUAAGUGGUGUAUGAAAUAUCCCGGCUCAACCGGGAGAGGUUAUGCCAGACUGGCAGUCUAGAGAGCGAGAGAGGGACGUGGAAUUCCGGGUGUAGUGGUGAAAUGCGUAGAGAUCCGGAGGAACCCCAGAGGCGAAGGCGGCCUACUGGGCUGCACCUGACGCUGAGCCGCGAAAGCCAGGGGAGCGAACGGG